rnacentral:rRNA from 1 species
UUGGAGGGCAAGUCUGGUGCCAGCAGCCGCGGUAAUUCCAGCUCCAAUAGCGUAUAUUAAAGUUGUUGCAGUUAAAAAGCUCGUAGUUGAAUUUCGGGGUCAGUAGGCUGGUCGUGCCUCAGGUACGUACUGGUCUUACUGAUUCCUCCUUCCUGACGAACCGUAAUGCCAUUAAUUUGGUGUUGCGGGGAAUCUGGACUGUUACUUUGAAAAAAUUAGAGUGUUUAAAGCAGGCUAACGCUUGAAUACAUUAGCAUGGAAUAAUGAAAUAGGACGAUCGAUCCUAUUUUGUUGGUUUCUAGGAUUGACGUAAUGAUUAAUAGGGAUAGUUGGGGGCAUUAGUAUUCAAUUGUCAGAGGUGAAAUUCUUGGACUUAUUGAAGACUAACUACUGCGAAAGCAUUUGCCAAGGAUGUUUUCAUUAAUCAAGAACGAAAGUUAGGGGAUCGAAGACGAUCAGAUACCGUCGUAGUCUUAACCAUAAACUAUGCCGACUAGGGAUCGGAUGAUGUUAAUUUUUUAAUGACUCAUUCGGCGCCUUACGGGAAA